GGAGACAAGAAGGCAUCUUCUUGUUUUUAAAAGACCUAGCAAUAGGUAUGCUUAGGGAGGAGCUUGCGUCACAUUAGUUAGUGGGUGGGGUAAAGGCCUACCAAGACUAUGAUGUGUAGCCGGGCUGAGAGGUUGAACGGCCACAUUGGGACUGAGACACGGCUCAAACUCCUACGGGAGGCAGCAGUAGGGAAUUUUCGGCAAUGGAGGAAACUCUGACCGAGCAACGCCGCGUGAACGAUGAAGUAUUUCGGUACGUAAAGUUCUUUUAUUAGGGAAGAAUAAAUGAUGGAAAAAUCAUUCUGACGGUACCUAAUGAAUAAGCCCCGGCUAACUAUGUGCCAGCAGCCGCGGUAAUACAUAGGGGGCAAGCGUUAUCCGGAAUUAUUGGGCGUAAAGGGUGCGUAGGCGGUUAAAUAAGUUUAUGGUCUAAGUGCAAUGCUCAACAUUGUGAUGCUAUAAAAACUGUUUAGCUAGAGUAAGAUAGAGGCAAGUGGAAUUCCAUGUGUAGUGGUAAAAUGCGUAAAUAUAUGGAGGAACACCAGUAGCGAAGGCGGCUUGCUGGGUCUUUACUGACGCUGAGGCACGAAAGCGUGGGGAGCAAACAGGAUUAGAUACCCUGGUAGUCCACGCCGUAAACGAUGAGUACUAAACGUUGGGUAAAACCAGUGUUGAAGUUAACACAUUAAGUACUCCGCCUGAGUAGUACGUACGCAAGUAUGAAACUUAAAGGAAUUGACGGGACUCCGCACAAGCGGUGGAUCAUGUUGUUUAAUUCGAAGGUACCCGAAAAACCUCACCAGGUCUUGACAUGCUUCUGCAAAGCUGUAGAAACACAGUGGAGGUUAUCAGUUGCACAGGUGGUGCAUGGUUGUCGUCAGCUCGUGUCGUGAGAUGUUGGGUUAAGUCCCGCAACGAGCGCAACCCUUAUUGUUAGUUACCAGCACGUAAUGGUGGGGACUUUAGCAAGACUGCCAGUGAUAAAUUGGAGGAAGGUGGGGAUGACGUCAAAUCAUCAUGCCCCUUAUGACCUGGGCUACAAACGUGAUACAAUGGCUGUUACAAAGGGUAGCUGAAGCGCAAGUUUUUGGCGAAUCUCAAAAAAAC
rnacentral:rRNA from 1 species